AGAAGAAGAAGAGCUUAUUAAUUAUUAUUAUUAUAAAUAAUUGGAUAAUUAAAGAUGGCAUCAUCUUCGGAUCAAACUAAAAUGACCAUCCCUUUGCACUUCAGGUCUAUAUGCUUAGAUGAUGAUGAUCGUUCUGCUGGAUUUGUAUCGAUCCAACCAAGGAGUGGUGAUGGUAGAUGCAGGGCGAAUUUGGGGUUUGCUUUGAUUCCUGAGUAUUGGAACCAAGGUAUUACAACUAGAGCUAUUAUUACUGAAGGAUGGAAGCUGUUUCCUGAAGUGGCUACGCUUGAAGCUAUGGCUGAUGUAGAUAACAAUGGCUGCCAUAGGGUUAUGGAGAAACUUGGGUUCCAUUAGGAGGGUGUCCUGAGGAAACACACGGUCAUCAACGAUAAGCUAUUGGAUUGUAGCAAGGACAUGAACGGCUUCCUUGGGGAAAACAGAUCAAGGAUUAGAUUGAGGAAGCUCCUCCCUUCAUUCAAAUCAUCACCACCUUAGCUCAAUGAAUCAAUCAACAUGCCAUGGAUGAGUUUUUCCAUUGCCACCACCACUAUCAUUUCUCUCUACCAUCACCAUGGGCCCUUCAAAAUCAUCCUGACUUCCAUCUCCUCCCGGAUUUUCGAUGUUACCAGAUUCGUUAUCAGUUGCUGCAUUUCCUGUC